GCACAGCUGGUGGAAUUGGCAGACACGAAGGAUUUAGGUUCCUUUGCUUCGGCGUGCGGGUUCAAGUCCCGCGCUGUGUACCA
rnacentral:tRNA from 1 species